rnacentral:rRNA from 1 species
AUUGAACGCUGGCGGCAUGCCUUACACGUGCAAGUCGAACGGCAGCAUGAUCUAGCUUGCUAGAUUGAUGGCGAGUGGCGAACGGGUGAGUAAUACAUCGGAACGUGCCCUGUAGUGGGGGAUAACUAGUCGAAAGAUUAGCUAAUACCGCAUACGACCUGAGGGUGAAAGUGGGGGACCGCAAGGCCUCAUGCUAUAGGAGCGGCCGAUGUCUGAUUAGCUAGUUGGUGAGGUAAAGGCUCACCAAGGCGACGAUCAGUAGCUGGUCUGAGAGGACGAUCAGCCACACUGGGACUGAGACACGGCCCAGACUCCUACGGGAGGCAGCAGUGGGGAAUUUUGGACAAUGGGCGAAAGCCUGAUCCAGCAAUGCCGCGUGUGUGAAGAAGGCCUUCGGGUUGUAAAGCACUUUUGUCCGGAAAGAAAUGGCUCUGGUUAAUACCUGGGGUCGAUGACGGUACCGGAAGAAUAAGGACCGGCUAACUACGUG